rnacentral:rRNA from 1 species
AGAGUUUGAUCAUGGCUCAGAACGAACGCUGGCGGCAGGCUUAACACAUGCAAGUCGAGCGCCCCGCAAGGGGAGCGGCAGACGGGUGAGUAACGCGUGGGAAUCUACCCAGCUCUACGGAACAACUCCGGGAAACUGGAGCUAAUACCGUAUACGUCCUUCGGGAGAAAGAUUUAUCGGAGUUGGAUGAGCCCGCGUUGGAUUAGCUAGUUGGUGGGGUAAUGGCCCACCAAGGCGACGAUCCAUAGCUGGUCUGAGAGGAUGAUCAGCCACACUGGGACUGAGACACGGCCCAGACUCCUACGGGAGGCAGCAGUGGGGAAUAUUGGACAAUGGGCGAAAGCCUGAUCCAGCCAUGCCGCGUGAGUGAUGAAGGCCCUAGGGUUGUAAAGCUCUUUCACCGGUGAAGAUAAUGACGGUAACCGGAGAAGAAGCCCCGGCUAACUUCGUGCCAGCAGCCGCGGUAAUACGAAGGGGGCUAGCGUUGUUCGGAAUUACUGGGCGUAAAGCGCACGUAGGCGGACUAUUAAGUCAGGGGUGAAAUCCCGGGGCUCAACCCCGGAACUGCCUUUGAUACUGGUAGUCUCGAGUCCGGAAGAGGUGAGUGGAAUUCCGAGUGUAGAGGUGAAAUUCGUAGAUAUUCGGAGGAACACCAGUGGCGAAGGCGGCUCACUGGUCCGGUACUGACGCUGAGGUGCGA